AGCAAUGAAGAGGGACCAAGCUCUGGAAGUGGACUCCAGCACCAUUGGCAGGAAGAAAGGCCGAGACGGUGCUGAGGAUGAACUACCAACUCGCAGGCAGAUCUAUAUAUGUGUGGGCAUAUUUGUUGUAUAAGAAAACACCACUAUCAUGACAUACCUUUACCUGAAUUUUAUGAAGUCCUACUGUUGUUGUCAGCUCCCAGUUCCCGAAAAUAAAAUAACUGAUGGAUCAUGGUAUAAUUUGUUAUCCCCAACCAACCCCAAUUGACGCAGCCAGAAAGAGAGCAUUUUCGUAUCCGGGCACUAGCUCUCAGCCUUCGUGGAGUUAUUUGAUAUCGGAUGAUUUCACGUUAUACACAAUAUAAGCAUAGACCUUUCACCGAGGAUCUCAGCUCAUGAACUCCAUGAACCAAGUCAAGCUCAAUUACCUUAAAGAGCAACGGCC
rnacentral:sRNA from 1 species